rnacentral:rRNA from 1 species
GUGGGGAAUAUUGCACAAUGGGCGCAAGCCUGAUGCAGCAACGCCGCGUGAGUGAUGAAGGCCUUCGGGUUGUAAAACUCUGUCCUAUGGGAAGAAUAAAAUGACGGUACCAUAGGAGGAAGCCCCGGCUAACUACGUGCCAGCAGCCGCGGUAAUACGUAGGGGGCAAGCGUUAUCCGGAAUCACUGGGCGUAAAGGGUGCGUAGGUGGCUUAUCAAGCCAGAGGUGAAGGGCAUUGGCUCAACCAAUGUAAGCCUUUGGAACUGAUUAGCUUGAGUGCAGGAGAGGUAAGUGGAAUUCCUGGUGUAGAGGUGAAAUUCGUAGAUAUUAGGAGGAACACCAGUGGCGAAGGCGACUUACUGGACUGUAACUGACACUGAGGCACGAAAGCGUGGGUAGCGAACAGGAUUAGAAACCCUGGUAGUCC